UACGGAGGAUGCGAGCGUUAUCCGGAUUUAUUGGGUUUAAAGGGUGCGUAGGCGGGAUGCCAAGUCAGCGGUAAAAACGCGGUGCUCAACGCCGUCGAGCCGUUGAAACUGGCGUUCUUGAGUGGGCGAGAAGUAUGCGGAAUGCGUGGUGUAGCGGUGAAAUGCAUAGAUAUCACGCAGAACUCCGAUUGCGAAGGCAGCAUACCGGCGCCCUACUGACGCUGAGGCACGAAAGCGUGGGUAUCGAACAGG
rnacentral:rRNA from 1 species